rnacentral:misc_RNA from 1 species
UACAUAGGGUGCGAGCGUUAAUCGGAAUAACUGGGCGUAAAGCGUGCGCAGGCGGUUUGCCAAGUCAGAUGUGAAAGCCCCGGGCUCAAACUGGGAACUGCGUUUGAAACUGGCAAGCUAGAGUUUGGCAGAGGGGGGUAGAAUUCCACGUGUAGCAGUGAAAUGCGUAGAUAUGUGGAGGAAUACCGAUGGCGAAGGCAGCCCCCUGGGUCAAAACUGACGCUCAUGCACGAAAGCGUGGGGAGCAAACAGG